rnacentral:rRNA from 1 species
GAUGAACGCUGGCGGCGUGCCUAAUACAUGCAAGUCGAGCGAACGGACGAGAAGCUUGCUUCUCUGAUGUUAGCGGCGGACGGGUGAGUAACACGUGGAUAACCUACCUAUAAGACUGGGAUGACUUCGGGAAACCGGAGCUAAUACCGGAUGAUAUUUUGAACCGCAUGGUUCAAAAGUGAAAGACGGUCUUGCUAUCACUUAUAGAUGGAUCCGCGCUGCAUUAGCUAGUUGGUAAGGUAACGGCUUACCAAGGCAACGAUGCAUAGCCGACCUGAGAGGGUGAUCGGCCACACUGGAACUGAGACACGGUCCAGACUCCUACGGGAGGCAGCAGUAGGGAAUCUUCCGCAAUGGGCGAAAGCCUGACGGAGCAACGCCGCGUGAGUGAUGAAGGUCUUCGGAUCGUAAAACUCUGUUAUUAGGGAAGAACAUAUGUGUAAGUAACUGUGCACAUCUUGACGGUACCUAAUCAGAAAGCCACGGCUAACUACGUG